GUUGCAGUGAGCAGAGAUCGACAAGAGCAAGACUCCGUCUAAAAAAAAAAAAAAAAAAUGGGGUCAAGUCCCAGUGAACCCAUCAUGAAGUCGAAACAUCGUAAGUGAAACCACGAAAGUCAUCAGUGCGGGGAACACUGGAAUUGCGUGCCACCAGAGGACAGAGUGGAGCCAGCGCGGUAUCACUUCUGUGCUGUUCCCAUCGAAGGUCAGUAACCGGAACCCCUUCGCCAGGACGCGGGUCCUGGCCAACCCAAAUCGAGGGGCAUUCUGCAGAUCAGCUGGUCUGCCAUCUUCAAACGAUUCAUGAAAAUCAAAGACAGCUUUGAGGAACGGCUCCAGACUGGCAGAGACCAAAGAGGUCAUAGAUGAACAGGAGAUCCCCAACUGGAUCCUUUGGCUGUAAAGGACAAUAUUGGCACAACGGGUGAAGCUUGAAUGGGGUCUGAGGAUUAGGUGGUAGUAACUUCACAGGCGGGGAUUUGGGAGAAAUGCAAUGUCACGUGGAAAACUGACUCUCAAAUAGUUCAAGAAGGAAGUUCUUUGGACUAUACUUGCAACUUUUCUGUAGGCUUAAUACUGUUUCACAAUUUUAAAAUGUAAAAUAAUAGUACCAGGUAGUAGUUUUUUAUUAAGACAGAUUGUGCUUUUUGAAAGCAUUGGUGGAAAGAUUUCUCAAAAUCAUGCGCGAAAGAGUUUAUAAUGAAAUUGUGUAAUAUUUGUUUCAAAAGAAAGUGUGGGCCCUGAGAAGCAUUUUCUGUAGUUUACACAGUAUUUCUGCCAAUUUGGGAUACUUUCAGUGUCCCUGGAAUUCUCAUCAUCUGAAUUUCUUACUCUUUUUCCCUUUAAAAAAAAAUAAAAUAAAGAAGUAUGAGGCAAAAGGCCACACCUACCUACCUCACUUUAAAAUUCUGUCUAAAAACCUGGUCACAGAGGAAGAUGUUGGCUAACUUUAAUGCGAUAAUCUAGUUCCCCUCAAAAUGGAAAGCUAUUUAGAAAAAAGCUAUUUGCCCAACGUGAGGAACAAUUUAUAGAAACUGACAAGAAUUUUUGUCCUGGGGAAAGGACAGGGUUUGUUGCAUGGGAUAAGGGGAAGUGAUGUGGCCGGGCAUGAUGGCUCACGCCUGUAAUCCCAGCACUUUGGGAGGCCGAGGCAGGUGGAUCGUGAGGUCAAGAGAUCGAGACCAUCCUGGCCAACAUAGUGAAACCUCGUCUCUACUAAAAAUACAAAAAUUAGCUAGAUAUGGUGGUGUGUGCACCUGUAGAACCAGCUACUCGGGAGGCUGAGGCAGGAGAAUCGCUUGAACCUGGGAGGCGGAGGUUGCAGUGAACCGAGAUCGCUCCACUGCUCUCCAGUCUGGCGACAGAGCAAGAGUCUGUCUCAAAAAAAAAAAAGCAAGUGAUUUUUUUUAAAAAAAGAAAACAGAACCGAUGUCUGAAAAAGUAGUACUCCUUUACAAAACACAUUCUCUACAAACGCGUGGUUUCAUGUGACCUCUGCUCAGUCCCUUUCCACAACUUUCUCCUGCCUAUUUUCUUCUCUGCAUUUUGUCAGGAUGCUUUUUAUUGUAAAUUUUACUGUGUUUUGCAUGCUUCCAAAUAUAAAAAAUAAUUUUUAAGAUGAAUUAAACAUUGAACCUCCCUCUCAGUAUUGUUUUGGGAACAUGCAUUCUCCUGAGGAGAGGGAGCUGUUGAGUGGAAGCAGUCAAACAGAACUCCACAUUUCAUUUUCCUGGCAUGGGUUUCAGGGUGCAACUCAAACAGAAUGUGACUUGGCAUCUGUCACCUUUCCCAGGCACUCCCUAUCCUCUGGCAAUUUGUUGCCUUAAUGGAGAACCAUUCAAAAUUAAAUAUUUUAUAUUAGAAAAGAAAUGUUAAACAUAAAGAAAAGUUAUACAAAUAUUAUAACAACCUAGUGAGCCUUCCUUCACUAAUUUUCUCUCUCAUACACACACAUCUAUGUGUAUGUGUGAGUACACAGUAUAUAUGUGUAUAUAUUUACACAAUCACUUUUUUUCUUUUGCUGGACUACUUGAGAGUAAAUUGAAGAGAUUGACAUUCUUCAGCUCUAAAUAAUUCAAUAUGAACCUCAUAGGAUCAAAGAUGUUUUCAUACAUAACCCCAGUGCAAUUAUUACCAAAUUCAGAUAAUUUCAUAUCCGUACAAUUUUCCCAUAUAUAAUAUAUUCAAUAUUUAAAUUUUGACAGUUAUCCCAGUAUUGUUUAUACAGCAACUGUUUUCCUUUGUUUCUUAUUUUUAUAGAUACAUAGUAAUUGUACAUAUUUAUGUGUUACAUGUGAUACUUUGAUACAUGCAUACAAUGUGCAAUGAUCAAAUCAGGGUAAUGAAGGUAUUCAUCACCUCAAACGUUUAUUAUUUCUUUGUACUGGGAACAUUCCAAAUCUUCUCUUCUAGCUAUUUUGAAAUAUACAAUAAAUUAUUGUUAACUAUUA